GAUGAACGCUAGCGGCAGGCCUAAUACAUGCAAGUCGGACGGGAUUCAGGAGCUUGCUUCUGAUGAGAGUGGCGCACGGGUGCGUAACACGUAUGUAACCUACCUUUAUCAGGGGGAUAUCCUCUCGAAAGAGAGAUUAAGCCCGCAUAAAAUCACAGCACAUCAUUGUGUAAUGAUCAAAUAUUUAUAGGAUAAAGAUGGGCAUGCGGAACAUUAGCUAGAUGGCGGGGUAACUGCCCACCAUGGCGACGAUGUUUAGGGGAUCUGAGAGGAUUGCCCCCCAGACUGGUACUGAGACACGGAGCAGACACCUACGGGAGGCAGCAGUAAGGAAUAUUGGUCAAUGGGAGGAAGCCUGAACCAGCCAUGCCGGGUGCAGGAAGACGGCCCUACGGGUUGUAACCUGCUUUUAUACGGGAAUAAACCCAGAUACGUGUAUCUGGCUGAAUGUACUGUAAGAAUAAGGAUCGGCUAACUACGUG
rnacentral:rRNA from 1 species